rnacentral:rRNA from 1 species
AUCCACAUCUCCGAGCCCGCGAACGUAGGGAAUCUCGUAUGCAGUGGCGAACGGGUGAGUAAUACGUGAGUAACCUGCCCUCCUUUUUGGGAUAAGCCUUGGAAACGGGGUCUAAUACCGGAUAAAGGGGGAUGGUCUCGCGGCCUAUCAGCUUGUUGGUGGGGUGAUGGCCUACCACGGCGGUGACGGGUAGCCGGCCUGAGAGGGUGACGGGCUAGAUUGGGACUGAGUUAGGGCUCAGACUCCUACGUGAGGCAGCAGUGGGGGAUGUUGCACAAUGGGCGAAAGCAUUAUGCAGCGACGUAGCGUGGGGGAUGAAGGCUUUCGGGUUGUAAACCUCUUUGGCUAUCGAACGGGUAGGUGUAGAAGAAGCGCCGGCUAACUACGUGCCAGCAGCAGCGGUAAUAC